GUGCUCACUUUGGCAGCACACAUACUAAAACCAGAAUGAUACAGAGCAUAUUAGCAUGGCCCCUAUGCAAGGAUGACAGGGAAAUUUGUGAAGCAUUCCAUAUUUUU